GUGGGGAAUCUUAGACAAUGGGGGAAACCCUGAUCUAGCCAUGCCGCGUGAGCGAUGAAGGCCUUAGGGUUGUAAAGCUCUUUCAGCUGGGAAGAUAAUGACGGUACCAGCAGAAGAAGCCCCGGCUAACUCCGUGCCAGCAGCCGCGGUAAUACGGAGGGGGCUAGCGUUGUUCGGAAUUACUGGGCGUAAAGCGCGCGUAGGCGGACCAGAAAGUUGGAGGUGAAAUCCCAGGGCUCAACCUUGGAACUACCUUCAAAACUCCUGGUCUGGAGUUCGAGAGAGGUGAGUGGAAUUCCGAGUGUAGAGGUGAAAUUCGUAGAUAUUCGGAGGAACACCAGUGGCGAAGGCGGCUCACUGGCUCGAUACUGACGCUGAGGUGCGAAAGCGUGGGGAGCAAACAGGAUUAGAAACCCCAGUAGUCC
rnacentral:rRNA from 1 species